UGUCAGGACGAACGCUGGCGGCGUGCCUAACACAUGCAAGUCGAGCGAUGAAACCCCUUCGGGGGUGGAUUAGCGGCGGACGGGUGAGUAACACGUGGGUAACCUGCCUCAAAGUGGGGGAUAGCCUUCCGAAAGGAAGAUUAAUACCGCAUAAAGCCAAGUUUCACAUGGAAUUUGGAUGAAAGGAGUAAUUCGCUUUGAGAUGGACCCGCGGCGCAUUAGUUAGUUGGUGGGGUAAUGGCCUACCAAGACAGCGAUGCGUAGCCGACCUGAGAGGGUGAUCGGCCACAUUGGAACUGAGAUACGGUCCAGACUCCUACGGGAGGCAGCAGUGGGGAAUAUUGCACAAUGGGCGAAAGCCUGAUGCAGCAACGCCGCGUGAGUGAUGAAGGUCUUCGGAUUGUAAAGCUCUGUCUUUUGGGACGAUAAUGACGGUACCAAAGGAGGAAGCCACGGCUAACUACGUGCCAGCAGCCGCGGUAAUACGUAGGUGGCGAGCGUUGUCCGGAUUUACUGGGCGUAAAGGGUGCGUAGGCGGAUGUUUAAGUGAGAUGUGAAAUACCCGGGCUUAACUUGGGUGCUGCAUUUCAAACUGGAUAUCUAGAGUGCAGGAGAGGAGAAUGGAAUUCCUAGUGUAGCGGUGAAAUGCGUAGAGAUUAGGAAGAACAUCCAGUGGCGAAGGCGAUUCUCUGGACUGUAACUGACGCUGAUGC
rnacentral:rRNA from 1 species